UGAAAGAGGCUGGGAGACCGGAGGGGCUAUUGCUAGGGCAAACCAGCUGCAGGCUUACAGCCAGCAGCUAGAUUCCCCUCCCCAUGGAACCAACAGUGAACUUCUGUUUGGUC